rnacentral:tRNA from 1 species
GGCCUCGUAGCUCAGCUGGUAGAGCGUGCUCUGUAUAAAAGCGCAGGCGGUGUCCAUGUAUGGGUUCGAAUCCCACCGGGAUCA